UACAGAGGGUGCAAGCGUUAUUCGGAAUUAUUGGGCGUAAAGAGCGUGUAGGUGGUUUGUUAAGUCUGGUGUGAAAUCCCUGGGCUCAAUCCAGGAAGUGCAUUAGAUACUGGCAGACUAGAGUGCAGGAGAGGAUGGCGGAAUUCCCGGUGUAGAGGUGAAAUUCGUAGAUAUCGGGAGGAACAACAGUGGCGAAGGCGGCCAUCUGGACUGUUACUGACACUUAGGCGCGAAAGCGUGGGGAGCAAAC
rnacentral:rRNA from 1 species